AUCCAGCUGACGAGUCCCAAAUAAGAUGAAACGUGCAUCAAACUGGAU
rfam:Schistosoma curassoni strain Dakar, Senegal genome assembly, scaffold: SCTD_scaffold0010168